rnacentral:rRNA from 1 species
AGAGUUUGAUUAUGGCUCAGGAUGAACGCUAGCUACAGGCUUAACACAUGCAAGUCGAGGGGCAGCGAGAAGAAAGCUUGCUUCUUUGUCGGCGACCGGCGCACGGGUGAGUAACGCGUAUCCAACCUUCCCCUUAGUAGAGGAUAGCCCGGCGAAAGUCGGAUUAAUACUCUAUGUUAUUCGUUGAGGACAUCUGAAAUGAAUCAAAGGUUUUACCGCUAAGGGAUGGGGAUGCGUCUGAUUAGGUUGUUGGCGGGGUAACGGCCCACCAAGCCCACGAUCAGUAGGGGUUCUGAGAGGAAGGUCCCCCACAUUGGAACUGAGACACGGUCCAAACUCCUACGGGAGGCAGCAGUGAGGAAUAUUGGUCAAUGGACGGAAGUCUGAACCAGCCAAGUAAGCGUGCAGGAUGACGGCCCUAUGGGUUGUAAACUGCUUUUGUACGGGAAUAAAGUGCGGGACGUGUCCCGUUUUGUAUGUACCGUAAGAAUAAGGACCGGCUAAUUCCGUGCCAGCCGCAGC